rnacentral:rRNA from 1 species
CCUACGGGUGGCAGCAGUGGGGAAUAUUGCACAAUGGGGGAAACCCUGAUGCAGCGAAGCCGCGUGAGUGAAGAAGUCUUUCGGUAUGUAAAGCUCUAUCUGCAGGGAAGAAAAAAGACGGUCCCUGACUACGAAGCACCGGCUAACUACGUGCCAGCAGCCGCGGUACUACGUAGGGGGCAAGCGUUAUCCGGAGUUACUGGGUGUAAAGGGAGCGUAGCCGGCGCGGCAAGUCUGAAGUGAAAGGCUGGGGCUUAACCCAUGAACUGCUUUUGAAACUGCCAUGCUAGAGUGCAGGAGAGGGAAGUGGAAUUCCUAGUGUAGCGGUGAAAUGCGUAGAUAUCAGGAGGAACACCAGUGGCGAAGGCGGCUUACUGGACAGUAACUGACGUUGAGGCUCGAAAGCGUGGGGAGCAAACAGGAUUAGAUACCCUAGCAGUC